GGCUGGCAUACUGCAUUUUUAUUAUUUUCCCUCACUCUGAGAAAGUUCUGGUACCUCUGAGUACUCAAGGGAAUCACUGCUGAAUCAGGUUGGAAAGCACAUAGGAAGAGCCUCUUACUUUCAGAUGUAGUUGUAUUGGUGCCUUAUAGUGGAUGAACUCCAAACCAACAUAUAAGAUGCUUGGUCUGUGUUACAUCAUUUAAAGGUGCAAGAAGGUAAGAGAAACUUUUCACAGGUGGCCACUCAGUUGCUACUGAGGUCCCCAAACUGUAAUUUUCUAGUCAUUGAAGAAGGUCAACUAAGUUGAUCACAAAAACUCUGAAAACUUCAAAACUCCCACAGACAAGAACAGACAUUUUUUAAAAAAUAUAUAUAUUAUCUUUAAAUACUCUUGAACCAUUUUAAUCAUCAGUGGACUUUGACAGGACAGAGCACAGUGGCCUUAACCACACUAUAUAAUAAUAGUUGAUUCAGAAAAAUACCAUCUGCCCCACUGCAUUCCUUCCCAGGCAGUUGGUGGCUGGAGAGCCAAGUGCUUAUGGUCAAUGCAUAAUUUUGUUGGUGUUCUGUUGCCUUACCACCAAAUAUGCAAUAGGGUGAUAACACAAUACGCUCAAAGAUAUUGCAAACCUAAGUCAGAUAAAAUCCCUCUUAGCAAUUUACUCCAGAUUUUUGAAAGAAUGGCUAGAUUCCUUACUUCAUGACCUCUUGGAGCUUCAUCUCAUUUCCAUAUGUAAUAACAAUGUUAUCUCACAGCUGCCUAACAUUUUACUAACUUCCCAAACCUUUUUUAAUUCUUACAAGAAUGCUAAAAAGAAAGCACCUCAUUGUAUAAGAGGACUCGGAAAAUUUAAGCAACUUAUCUGAGGUCACACAGGUAGUAAGCAGCAGAGCCAGGAGUUGGCCAGCCUAUAACUUCUAAUGAUAACUCUGGUGCUCUCUGCAUGGUAUCGUUAUUCCCUCUAGGUACCUGCAUCUGGGUGUUGGGCAGGCAACUCACACACCUCUCUUCUCAGGAAGCCUUACACUCACUAGUACUUGCUGUGGUCUUAGUGGGAUGCCCUAUUUUACUGGAAUUUCCUUUCCUCCUGUCCUUUUCCUUCCUUCCUUCCUUCAUUCCUUCCUCCCUCCCUCCCUUUCUUCUUUCCUCCCUCCUUCUUUCGGCCCUUCCUUGCUUCUUUCCUCCCUCCCUCUCUUCCUCCUCUUCCCUUCCUUCUUUCCACUUCUUUUCUUUUCUAUUUAUCCAAUUACAUAACACAUUUGUAUUGAGUACCUGAGUAUUGACAAUACACAAGGUACGUAAAUACCAAUUGCCAGGGAGACAAAAAUCAUAAGAAACCCAUCUUACCCACUUUUUUUUUUCCUUGACAGAGUCUUACCCAGGCUGGAGUGCAGUGGUGCAAUCUCAGCUCACUGCAACCUCCACCUCCCAGGUUCAAGUGACUCUUGUGCCUCAGCCACCUGAGUAGCUGAGAUUCCAGGCCGGCACCAUCAUGGCCAGGUAUCUUUUUUUUUUUUACCUCUCCAUCCUUAGAACUUCUUUUGUUCUUGGAACUGCAGUACAUGGUUAUAAUUAAA
rnacentral:lncRNA from 1 species